rnacentral:misc_RNA from 1 species
UACGGAGGGUGCAAGCGUUAAUCGGAAUUACUGGGCGUAAAGCGCGCGCAGGUGGUGAGGUAAGUUGGGUGUGAAAGCCCCGGGCUCAACCUGGGAACUGCAUCCAAAACUGGCGAGCUAGAGUACGGUAGAGGGGGGUGGAAUUUCCUGUGUAGCGGUGAAAUGCGUAGAUAUAGGAAGGAACACCAGUGGCGAAGGCGACCACCUGGACUGAUACUGACACUGAUGUGCGAAAGCGUGGGGAGCAAACAGG